AAUAAUGGUUUAAUUUUUAAGUUGCAAGAAAUUCUGUCAGGACAAAUGUGAGUAUUCUGUCUUGUGUGAUUUUUAGUAAAUCAUGGGUUUAUUCUUUAACUCCGAAAUUUUUAUGGUAUAUACUGGACAUACAGGGGAGUAGUUCUGUAAAAUUUCAUAACAAUUGGAUGUGUUUGAGCAGCCCGUUUGUAUUUUACAAAUGGAGCCUAUGAUGCCGGAAUAGAACAGUGAAUAGUAAGGGACAUGCCUAACUUUGUGGAUUUAAUUCUCAAGUUAGGGUGAAUGUUUUGAGCUAUAAUUUAAUAUGCUUAUCUUUUGGUAUGUCUCGAUCAUAGAUUAAUCUUGUGUAACUUGUUUUGAGGUUUAGUACUCAAAGGAAGGGGUUCUAAACCAUGAGACGGUUGUAUGUAUGAAGCUGUUUUGCCCGACAUGUUGUAUGUUACCAUCUGAAUGAAUAUAGUUAUAUGACCAUGCUUAAAAGAUUUUAUAUUUAGGCAUGCAUUAUUGCCCUAACCUCAAAGCACAUUUUGAAAUAAAGUUAGCUCUUCUAGAGAUAUGGGAUUAAUAUAAGAAUGUUGGUUUCUCUAGGAUUUUGUACUUGUUGUUGAUGAAUGUAUUUUGUGUUUGUGGGAACCUCUUUGAGGUGGGAUUAGGACUUCCUUCAUUCUAAGAGAUAGGCUUUGAGAUGAAUGUGAAGUUUAUGAUAAGGAAUUAUAGAUAGUAAUAAUCUUUGAUAUUUGGUUUAGGUGUUACCAGUAUCCAAGUCAAAGUUCCUUCGACUUUAGGCUCUCGGUUCCUCUACUUUCAGUUAACAGGUUUUAUUUUGGAGCAAAGGGAGCCUUAGUCGAGUUUGGAAGGAGCUGGUUUUAGUUUUAUAUGUAUAGAUCCUAAAUUAGCAAUUUGAUGUUUAGCUUUGUAGUAUUGUGUAUUUUAGGAUCUAAAGAAAGUUAUGUACCUUAAAGUAUUAAGAGAUGUAUUAUGUGAAAGUGUGGAAAUUAAAUGAUUGGUGGAUUAUGUUA